GGGACUGAUGCCUGGGGACGCCGUCACAGCUAGAUCGGCUAAGAGUUCAAGUCACAGUCUCUAGCUGUGAUAUGGCCUGUCAAAACAUCGAAGUUAUCUUCUACAUGAAUCAUCCAUGAUGCAUCGCUUCUCUGACUGAAACAACUAGGUUCCUGAAGGUAUGUUCUGGUGAAUGUUGUUGUGUUCAGGAAGACAUUUUCAUAUGCUGGAUUUGAGCAACAGCCAAAUAAUAAGUUCCUGCAUCCGGCGAUUCUUUUAUUAACAUUGAACUAUAAUUGAAAUCUGAGAAGGAAAAUGCAGAGAUCAGGCUCCAUAUGUUUGAAACAUACCUCUGAGGCUCUGACCCCCUGCAAUGCCAAUCAAUUGUUGAUUCUAAACGGAACAUUAUUUAUUAUAAACUUGAUAAAUUUGUGAAAAGUGGAGCAAAGAUAGUUCUUUCUCAGGUAACUAUUGGUGAUCUUGUAACAUAGGUAGCCUGGUGUUUUUAUUUAACAGAAUAGCCUUCUGCUAUUCUGUGAUGUACUUCCGCAGCCUAUCUCAGAUAAUUUGGGUCUAUAUGGUAGUUUGGUGAUCGAGACAUUUUCUGCACUGGUCUUGUCUGAAUAAGAUUUGCUAAGU